AAUUCCUAUAGAGGGCAGGCUCGAUGUAACGAAUAAUGAAAAGUUAUUCUUGAAUAUAAGUAAACCAAGAUCUUCUUCUAUAUAAGGUACAUCAAAUCAGAAUCACAUUUUCAUUUUGGGUUUCUACAAGGAUAAUGGUAAGAGUUAGCUUAAAUCGUUAAAAUUAAAAACGUGCUUUGGGUGGCCUCUUGCAGAUCAACAUUUUAUUUCAAUUUUUAUGGAAAGAAUGGAAAUCAUAAGGUUUAUUGCAGUAAAAUUUAAUAAAUCUGUUUCUCAAAAUGGUGAAUUAUAACAUCAUUAUUAUUUGAUGACAUUGCAUAUAUACUUUUGGAAGUACAAGAAGAAAAUAUUUAUUAGAAACAGAACAAAAUAUUAAAAGUGAUCCCAAAAUUUGUUUAUUUGGAAUCUAUACAAAUUUAUUUUUAAAAUUUUGUAUGACAUGUUUUGAUUGAUUGUUAUGAUUGAUUUAAAAUAUAUAAUUUUAUAACUUAA